UAUUGAGGAGCUUUGUGCCAAGUUAGUUUUCCCAGGAGAAAGCUUCCUUACUCCCUACAAAUACUGGUGACCAGCUGUUCCUGCAACUCAAAUCUCUUUUUGCUGUUAUCUUCAUUUGUUUUGGUGUGGCUCAUUUUCCUGGCCCAGACUGCAGAAAGAAACCAUUACACUCUUGAUGCCAAACUUUUGCAUUGUCCAUCACCCCACUGAGAAAAUAAGGAUGGGCAGAACAUAAGUCAUUGGGAAUUCUGAAAUUUUCAAGGAAGUUGAAACUUGCAAGUGGGAAAAGGCAAUAGCUCAUGAAGCUUCAUCUGGUUACAGCCAGCUCGGUUAGGACUAUGUGCAUUUCCAUCAGGUUGGAGGAAUGAACAAGUGUAAGCUCGCUGGCAAUCUGGGAAAGCCUGGGUAAGAAGCUGUUAUCCAGUUUCUGGAUGUGUUUGUGAUCCCAGAGCCUUCUCUGGCAGCUGCCUCAGGAAGAUAAAGCUGAGACUGAAAGCAUCCAGAUCCUGGUAAUUCUCCAGGUGAUAAACCAGAAAUAGGAAGUGUGUGAUCAAUCUCUCUCUCCCACUUUGUCAGCUCCCAUGUUUGAAGUUCAAGUGUCAAGGACAAUCCUUGAACAACAGUGGACCCAUACAAUGGUAUCGCUGGGUUGUGUGACCACAAGGGAUGAAAAACAGUUCUACCAUGUUCCAGCUUGUGGUCACAAGUGCUUUACAACCACUGCAGCAGCAAUUUUCAACAGUUCCAUUGUAUCAUUAUAUGGAUGAUAUAUUGCUAGCAGCAGAUAACUGCUGUAGUGCAAAACUGUUUUGUCUUUUUGGGUAUUUCUCUUGACAAAUAUGGUCUUUGUAUUGCAGCAGACAAAGUUCAAACUGUCCCACCUUGGAAAUAUCUAGGGUUUCUAUUAUUUGAACAGAAAAUUGUUCCUCAGCCCAUUGUGCUGUGGACCUCUAUUAAAACAUUAAAUGAUUUGCAAGAAUUAUUAGGAACUAUUAAUUGGCUUGGACCAACUGAGGAAUUAUCACCCUUAUUUAAUUUGCUUAAGGGAGACACAGAUUUAACACCUCCUUGUGAACUUAAUCCAGAAGCCUGUGAAGCAUUGCAAAUUGUGAUAGAUAAAAUUCAGUCAUCCUUUGUAUCCAAACAACAAGCAGAGUUACCACUGGACUUUUUGUUAUCAUAGCUGAAUUCCAACCAUAUGCAUUAAUAGCAGAGUGGUGUGAUGAUAAACAACUGUGUGUCUUAGAGUGGGUAUUUUUACCUCACACAUUUUCAAAAACAGUAACCACCUUACUUAACAUGAUUGUUAGACUGGUUUCCACAGGACAAAAAUUAUACCAAAGCCUAAGUGGGGAAGAUCAUUCUCAUAUCCACAUUCCUUUUCCUGCAGACACUUUUAAGGAUAUGUCCCAGGAGCCAUUAUCUUUACAGGCUGACCUGACAGACUUUUUGGAAAACAUUGUUAAUUCUUUGCCGCAAAGUAAAGUUUUGCAAUGUUUAAAAGAUCUUUCUGGAUAGUUGUAUUUUCUAACACUGUCACAACCCCUGCCUGGAGCAAAGACAGUCUUCAUCGAUGGCUCUGGGAAAACUCAGAAAGCAGUUGUUGCUUGGAAAAAUUCCACAGGGGAUUGGGAAAACUCUGUUAUUUUUCAGCCAGGGUUGACACAGCUAGUAGAAUUAGCAGCUGCUGUAGAGCUUUUUCAGUUUCAAUUUUCAGUUGUUUUUUCCAGUUGUUUCAAAUGAGCCUUUCAAUUUAAUAUCAUAUUCCUUGUAAGUUGUUGGCAUAUUAAACCAUAUUGAACAUUCCUUUCCAAAGCAAGUGCACAAGAAUUUGUUUAUAGUGUUAUCUACUCUGUAUGAUUAUGCUCGAUACAGAUCUCAUUAUUUUUAGGUCGUGCAUCUUUAAGGUGUCACUCAUCUUUGCCUGGACCUUUGGUGGAAGGCAGCAUAGUCAUGGAUGCUCUAACAACAAUGGAAACAACUCCAAAUCAAAUUACACAGGCAAAGUUGUCAUGUGAAUUCUUUCAUAAGAAUGUGAAAGCUUUGAGUAAACAAUUUAAUCUUACUUUUUCUCAAGCUAGACAAAUGGUUCAUUCUUGCCCAGAGUGUGCAUGCUUAAUGCCCUUACCUACCACAGUAGGUACAAAUCCAGGAGGAUUAGGUGUUAAUGAUGCCUGGCAGAUGAAUGCUACACAGAUUUCUUCUUUUGGCACUUUAGAAUAUGUGUAUGUAUCAGUUGGUAUAUUUCACAUAUUCAAAAUUUUUUGUUUUCUCCUCUCAUAAAGGGGAAAAAGCAAGAGAUGUCAUUAAGUGAGCUAUUGCUACCUUAGGAGUUCCUGAGGUAGUGAAAACUGAUAAUGGUUCAACCAUAUGUCUCACAGCCAAUGAAAACCUUUUUUCACUCUUGGGGUACACGUCACUUAACUGGAAUACCUCAUUCCUUGAGGCCAAGCUGUUGUGGAAUUCACAGACACCCUUUAAAGGAAUAUGCUUCUUAAACAAAAAAUGUGUAUAAACCCUUGGUAUAACACCCCAGGAACAAUUGGACAGAGCAACAUUUGUUUUAAAUUUUAAAAAUAUUUUCAGAUUUUAUAACAAAACAGCAAGUUUUAUAUUUUACAGCAAGUAAAAUAAGGUUUUCCCAUGAUACCUUUAACAGGUUUUCCUGGUUUGAACCACCUGUCUAUUAUAAAGAUUUGCAGAGUGGACAAUGGCUAGGCCCUCUGCCUUUGCUAACAUGGGGGUGUGGAUAUGGCUGUGUUUCUCUAUCCACAGGGCCUUACUGGUUACCUGCAAAGAACAUCAGACCCACUGCACAAGAAUGAAGGCUUGAAGGCAUCACAAUUUUAGUUUGGUUAUUAGUUACAAUGGACUUAGGCACAACUUAUGUAACCUUUUUUGUCAUCCUCAGCAAAUUCUUGAGGAUUGUGAGUGAAGCAUGGGUCUCACAACCAAAGACCAAUGUUUGUCUCACAUUAGCCAAAGCAAUUAUCCAAUCUAUGCUUUGAAAUUAAUCACUUGGACUGGUCAUAUAUAUACACACAUGUGUGGUUGGCACUCUCUUAAUGAAGGAUGAGUGGAACAAGUUAUACAAUCAAGCAGUUACCCGUGCUUGUACCACUCCAGGUAAGCCUAAAUCAUCAUGGUGGUGUUUGGGAUCACAGCAACCUAAUGCUGGCCAAUCUGUGGGGUGGAAUUUGGGCAAUGUUAAUACAGGCAUGAGAAAAGUAAGUAACGUCCCUGCUCUCUCACUGCAGCCUCAAGAACUGGAUGUACUAGGCUCUGUAAAAGUUCCUGUAUCUUUUUUAUCUUAAUUAUGCUAACGAUCCAAGCACAGGCAACACAGGAGUCAAUAUAAGUGGCACUGGAAUUUUCCAGAAUGCCUCUGCCUGGUGCAAUCUUACUACUUCCUCUAAAGUCACAAGUGGGACCAAAGCAAUAAGCCUGCCCAAUAAUAUAUUUUUAAUAUGUGGCAACAGGGCAUGGAUAGGCAUUCCAGGUAAAACAAUGAGGGAUCCAUGUACUUUUGGUUGUUUAACCAUGUUUUAUCCCAGUCUUGAAGCACUAAUUGGACACUAUGACAUGGGGGAAAUAAACUGUAACUCUGAGGUUGAAUUCUGGAAUACUGCAAAGAGAGUUCUUAGUUCUUUAGCUGCCUCUGUUGAUACUGCACAUGCCUUGAACAUAGUUAGUAAACUAGGCUGUUGGCUUAUGAAGGAAAGUAGUGUUACCACUAAUGCUUUAACAGGAUUGCUGGCAGAUUUUGGCUCUGAACAUCAUGCAACACUGCAAAAUAGAACAGCAAUAGACUCUUGAUUGCUAGCCCAGGAAUAUGGAUGUGAAGACUUCCAUAGAAUGUGCUGUAUGACCUUAAGUGACCACGUUGAAUCCAUUCACAAAAGCAUCCAGGAACUGAAGGAACUGUCUGGAGAACUGUAGAAUGUCUAUUUGUAGCAAAACCAGGGAUGAAAUCCUUCCAGCCUAUUCUCCUGGCUGGGAAGUUUAAAUUUUGGACCUUGGGUUAAAUGUGUAGUUGGUUUAGCUAUAAUGGGAUGUACAGCACUUUUGAUUAUGAUGUUAUGUUUGCCGUGUGUCUUUUCUUGUAGUCAAGGGCUUAUCAAUCAGAACAUAAAGAAGGUAAUGCUUAUGCAGACACACACUGUACUCGCUUUGCAAUGCUUAGUAAAUAAAAGAAGGGGAUAUGCUUAGGAAUAAGAGAACAAAGACUGCUUGGUUAGAAUAACUAUGACUUUUCAGUCAAGGAAGGAGAGAUGUAACAAAGUUUCUAAAAUGUAACAGAUAGCAGAACUGCAUCAGUUUGCAGAAAAAAUAUACAAGUGUUUGUUUUAAGGAAGAAAUGCUGAUGUGAAUAUUAGGAGCAUGAUCCCUUACAUUAUUGGUUACCAGACACAUGAGCAGUUAUACUAUUGGCUAUCCAGAUGUGUGUUGUGACAGUGAAAAUAUUAUAAAAGCUAUAUACACUCUUAAUAAAUGUUUUCUAGUUAAACCUGGACUGGGGACUGUGCAUCGUUCAUAUGCCACACCCACAUCCUGUGAAAUUCUGACAAGGUUUACUUAACUUAAAGUUACUUUACUUAACUUGAGCAGAAUAUAACUGUAUCUGAGCUCCUAUUGAAGACACAGGUAGCGUGAAUAAAAUAUCAGAGUGCAGGCACAUCCAAAUAAAGGGUCCAACAUCAGCUCAGGUGUUGUGUCUGUAACAGAUAGGAUUUUUUUCUGACACAGAAUCAGGAUCCCAUUUGUUUUUUCAAUUUUGAUCUUCCUAUCAAUAAAGUAGCAGAAAAGCUUAAACAUUUAUUCAGACUUUUCUAUUGCUCUUACUUUUGGCAUUGUAUUAUAUUAUAUUGGUUAUUGGUAUUAUACUACUAUUGGUUAUACUACUAUUGGUUAGUUAUGUUACUAUUGGUUAUAGGUUAUAAGCUAUAGUCUUAUAAAAUGUUUCAAGCACUUACUUCCUUUAAGGCAGUUAUGUGAAGUUUGACAAUUGACCUUGCUCAGCUUAUUACCACUAAAAGAGCACUGCUACACUGUGUUUCUUGAUAUUCAAAGAUAUCUAAAUGAUCAUCAGUGAAGAGCAAAGAAAUAAUGAUUGAACACAACUUUGAAUGAACAGGAAUAAAACAAAUCUUUUAGUAAUUCAGAUAAAACAUUUUCUAAAGUAAAACAAAACUGUUUAAAAUAAUUUCUUUCUGUUAUUAUUAACAUUGAAAAUACUAUAUUUAUUUAAAGAACUGGUGGCUUAAUCAGCAUUGAAGGCAUGUUGCAAAGUGUUACAAUAUAUUCUGUCAUUUGGCUCAGCUUUAGGCAAUUAUACAUGUAAAUAUAAUUACUAUGGUAUUCUUUUUUUAAACAUAUUAGUCUCAAGUUUGUGAUGAAUGAAUCUGCAACGUGUUUUCUUGACACCUUUUUGAAGUGAAUUAAUUUAAUAUUAAUUUAUUUUAAAUGUGCCAGAAGCAUCAUCCUAUUACUAAUAAGUCAAAAUAGACAGCAGGAAAUGCAGGUCCCUUCCUAGCAUUGCCAGAACGCAUCUCUGUGUGUAUCCAGCAAUCUGGGUGAUAUGUUGACAGAAUGAGGCCAGCGAUGCAAAUAAAGGAAUUCUCUCUCCUCCUCUCCUUGCAGUUUAUUGCUUGUCAUUGACUAAUUCACUGACUAGAAUUCCUACAGAAAAAUCAAACUAGUAGUGAAGCAGCUUUCUUAUUAGCAUUACUAUCAAAUGUUUAAUUUGUGUAUGAGGCGAUAAGAGUAUUUGUGUUUCCAGAAUUACAGCUAUUUAAUUUGGUUUAUUGGCUGCCUAAGGCUGAAGUAGGAUUCUCUAGGUAUAUAAAUUUCAGGCUGGAUUCUUAACACGAAUUAGAGUAUUUUUACUGCAGUUGCUGUAGCGGACUGUCAUCAGUGUCACUUUACAUUAGUGAAACACAUGAAUCCAAAUACUUCUGUUAGAUACCAAAUAAAUACAUAUUUUUUAAAAUGGAAGAUGGUUUUUUUAAUUUAACCCCCCCUAAAUAUCUUUAAUUAUGCUUGCUAUGUGUGUUAGGAUUUGUUAUUUUGUCUUAAUCACUUGCAAGGUUUUAAUCUGAUUCCCUGACAUACUAACACAGCAGAGAGACAAAAUAUAUUUAUUCUUACAAAUCAUAGUGUAUGUUUCAGCUUUUACUGUUCUCAGAUCAGGAAUGCUCAAUUUAAGAUAAAAACUAUUUAUUCCAUAAAAGAUAAAAGCCAGAAUUCAUUAACAAAUGAAAAAAAUACCCCAACAACAACAAAAUCAAACACAGAAUUAAUAGAUAGAGAAAAUCAAAGAUAGUGGGAAGGAAAGUUGCAUUUAUAUUAAAUAAAUAUUCUGUGUUUUAGUAUAAAGUGAAAUAACAAAAUCUUGCUCCCUUUGAUCAAAAUACACAGAUGAUCAGGAUAGGGAGUCAUACCAGCAUAUACAACUGUACUCAAUUCUUAUUUGAAAAAAAGUAGUCAUGGGCAAGGGACUCUAAGAAGACAGAUAACAAGCUUCUGUAUUUUCUGGCUCAUUGUAUCCAGUAGGUACAGAAAGCCAGAUUAGUAUAUUUUAUUCAUAUUGAUUUGAGUAGCUUUAUUUAUCUAACAUAGUUACCAUCUGUGAAAAACAGUGCUUUGCACAAAAAUAAUGGAGAAUCUAGUAAAAAAAAAUAAAUGGGGCUUCCAAAUUUAGUUUGCUGUUACCAAUGGAAUACAUACUGCAAUUUGGCAAAAAUCUGUCUUGUGGGUGAUUUGAGGGGUAAAAAAGCACCUGAUCACUCAUUUCCACACAGACACUCUACAAACUGGAAAAAAGAUUUUUCUCAGAUUGAAGCCUGAAUCUCUGUUUGAUGGAAGGGGGAAACCAGUCCUCCCAAGCUCUCAAAGCUGUUGCAAGCAGACAUUUAAUUGCUGAAGCAGCCCUGCUCUCUCUAAUCUGGGGCACACAGCUCAGCAGGUGCCCAUUUUAAGUGACCAUAGUUGUAUUUCAUUGCCCGUUUUUCCCACUUAUCUGGAAGUGUAAGACUUGGCUGUCCCCAUGCCUAAUCUUUGUAUUUUUAAUGCAGGUGAUGUAUAUUGUGAACAGUACCCAUGUGAUACUGAAAUCACCUGGCAAAAAAAGGGAAACGUUAUUGUGCAAUCCUCAUUCUGAAUCAAAAUUUUUGGGGGUAUCCUUUAGGAGGGACUCUAAAGGCUAAACUUUCAAUGCUAAAUUGUGAAAGACCAGAAGUCAAGGUCCAAAGUUUUUGAGCAGCUGGACACAGGGGAUACAAUGAAGAAAUCCAACCCUUUUCCUGCUACUCAAGCAGACAGUAUGACAGCAGAUUGGUCUCAUAGUGCCACAACAACUGGAUGUUUCCCGAAGGACCAAUACUUCAACACAGCAUAGAGGAGAGAGGGUGGCUGAGAACUCCACUGAAGGUUGCUGUGUUCAGGCACUGAUACAACAAUUUUCCAGCUGAGCAACAUGGAAGAAACAUAUGCCAGCAUGUGUAAAGAUUCUCUAGCAGACAUCUGCAGCCUCCCUCUUUGCAGCUGAUGAUGUGCCCAAACCUUGUACCACUUCAAAAGAACUUUAAUAUUUUGAAAAAGCCUCACUUUCACACAGUAGUUCAGAAAGAUCAAUAUGAAAUUUAGUUAGGAAAAAAGGAUAUCUGGUGAAAUUUCCAAUUUACUUACACAACCUAUCCAUCCUCCUGCUCUCAGGGUUUAGUAUCUCAGUGUUUGGCCAUUGCCACAUGUAGUGGUUUGACAAUACAAUCAUAAUACUAUUUCCCCUAAGCCCAGUUGGUGAGAAAUGUGUAAUUCCAUUUAAAGCAAUAUAAUGUUUAAUUUUGUGACAAUAAAUGAUUUUUUUUUCUGCA